rnacentral:rRNA from 1 species
GACGAACGCUGGCGGCGUGCCUAAUACAUGCAAGUAGAACGCUGAAGCGAGGAGCUUGCUCUUCUUGGAUGAGUUGCGAACGGGUGAGUAACGCGUAGGUAACCUGCCUUGUAGCGGGGGAUAACUAUUGGAAACGAUAGCUAAUACCGCAUAACAAUGGAUGACACAUGUCAUUUAUUUGAAAGGGGUAAUUGCUCCACUACAAGAUGGACCUGCGUUGUAUUAGCUAGUAGGUGAGGUAAUGGCUCACCUAGGCGACGAUACAUAGCCGACCUGAGAGGGUGAUCGGCCACACUGGGACUGAGACACGGCCCAGACUCCUACGGGAGGCAGCAGUAGGGAAUCCUCGGCAAUGGGGGCAACCCUGACCGAGCAACGCCGCGUGAGGGAAGAAGGGUUUCGGAUCGUAAAGCUCUGUUGUAAGUCAAGAACGGGUGUGAGAGUGGAAAGUUCACACUGUGACGGUAGCUUACCAGAAAGGGACGGCUAACUACGUG